rnacentral:rRNA from 3 species
CUGCAACUGUUUAUUAAAAACACAGCACUGUGCAAACACGAAAGUGGACGUAUACGGUGUGACGCCUGCCCGGUGCCGGAAGGUUAAUUGAUGGGGUCAGCGCAAGCGAAGCUCCUGAUCGAAGCCCCGGUAAACGGCGGCCGUAACUAUAACGGUCCUAAGGUAGCGAAAUUCCUUGUCGGGUAAGUUCCGACCUGCACGAAUGGCGUAAUGAUGGCCAGGCUGUCUCCACCCGAGACUCAGUGAAAUUGAACUCGCUGUGAAGAUGCAGUGUACCCGCGGCAAGACGGAAAGACCCCGUGAACCUUUACUAUAGCUUGACACUGAACAUUGAGCCUUGAUGUGUAGGAUAGGUGGGAGGCUUUGAAGUGUGGACGCCAGUCUGCAUGGAGCCGACCUUGAAAUACCACCCUUUAAUGUUUGAUGUUCUAACGUGGACCCGUUACCCGGGUUGCGGACAGUGUCUGGUGGGUAGUUUGACUGGGGCGGUCUCCUCCUAAAGAGUAACGGAGGAGCACGAAGGUUGGCUAAUCCUGGUCGGACAUCAGGAGGUUAGUGCAAUGGCAUAAGCCAGCUUGACUGCGAGCGUGACGGCGCGAGCAGGUGCGAAAGCAGGUCAUAGUGAUCCGGUGGUUCUGAAUGGAAGGGCCAUCGCUCAACGGAUAAAAGGUACUCCGGGGAUAACAGGCUGAUACCGCCCAAGAGUUCAUAUCGACGGCGGUGUUUGGCACCUCGAUGUCGGCUCAUCACAUCCUGGGGCUGAAGUAGGUCCCAAGGGUAUGGCUGUUCGCCAUUUAAAGUGGUACGCGAGCUGGGUUUAGAACGUCGUGAGACAGUUCGGUCCCUAUCUGCCGUGGGCGCUGGAGAACUGAGGGGGGCUGCUCCUAGUACGAGAGGACCGGAGUGGACGCAUCACUGGUGUUCGGGUUGUCAUGCCAAUGGCACUGCCCGGUAGCUAAAUGCGGAAGAGAUAAGUGCUGAAAGCAUCUAAGCACGAAACUUGCCCCGAGAUGAGUUCUCCCUGAGACUUUAGGUCUCCUGAAGGAACGUUGAAGACGACGACGUUGAUAGGCCGGGUGUGUAAGCGCAGCGAUGCGUUGAGCUAACCGGUACUAAUGAACCGUGAGGCUUAACCUUACAACGCCG